AUGGAGUUCACCGCAAUCAGGCCCUCCACGGCGGCCGCUGGUGGCUGCUCUUCGCCGCCUCCGGCAGAUCAUAAGGCCGAGGAGGAGGCGGCGGGGGCGGUGGAGAAGGAGCACAUGUUCGACAAGGUCGUGACCCCGAGCGACGUGGGCAAGCUGAACCGGCUGGUGAUCCCGAAGCAGCACGCGGAGAAGUACUUCCCGCUCGACGCCUCCUCCACCGACAAGGGCCUCCUGCUCAGCUUCGAGGACCGCGCCGGCAAGCCGUGGCGCUUCCGCUACUCCUACUGGAACAGCAGCCAGAGCUACGUCAUGACCAAGGGCUGGAGCCGCUUCGUCAAGGAGAAGCGCCUCGACGCCGGGGACACCGUCUCCUUCGGCCGCGGCGUCGGGGAGGCCGCCAGGGGCAGGCUCUUCAUCGACUGGCGCCGCCGCCCCGAC
rnacentral:rRNA from 1 species